UACGUAGGGCGCAAGCGUUGUCCGGAAUUAUUGGGCGUAAAGAGCUCGUAGGCGGCCUGUUACGUCUGCUGUGAAAUCCCGGGGCUUAACCCCGGGCGUGCAGUGGAUACGGGCAGGCUGGAGGCAGGCAGGGGAGAACGGAAUUCCCGGUGUAGCGGUGAAAUGCGCAGAUAUCGGGAGGAACACCGGUGGCGAAGGCGGUUCUCUGGGCCUGUACUGACGCGGAGGAGCGAAAGCGUGGGGAGCGAACAGG
rnacentral:rRNA from 1 species